AACGAACGCUGGCGGCAGGCUUAACACAUGCAAGUCGAGCGCAUCCUUCGGGGUGAGCGGCAGACGGGUGAGUAACGCGUGGGAACGUACCCUUUCCUACGGAAUAGCUCCGGGAAACUGGAAUUAAUACCGUAUACGCCCUUAGGGGGAAAGAUUUAUCGGGGAAGGAUCGGCCCGCGUUGGAUUAGCUAGUUGGUGGGGUAAAGGCCUACCAAGGCGACGAUCCAUAGCUGGUCUGAGAGGAUGAUCAGCCACAUUGGGACUGAGACACGGCCCAAACUCCUACGGGAGGCAGCAGUGGGGAAUAUUGGACAAUGGGCGCAAGCCUGACCCAGCCAUGCCGCGUGAGUGAUGAAGGCCUUAGGGUUGUAAAGCUCUUUCAGUAGGGAAGAUAAUGACGGUACCUACAGAAGAAGCCCUGGCUAACUUCGUGCCAGCCGCCGCAGUAA
rnacentral:rRNA from 1 species